UUUUUUUUAUAAUGAUAAGGAAGAACUUAAACAAGAACAAGAGCAAGAAACAAAUUUUUUUUUUUUUUUGAAUUUAUAAAAACUAAAACAACAAAACAGAAAAGAUAAAGGUUGGAAUGACACAACCUGUUGGGUAGGAGCUUUUGAAGCUCUGAUACCAGAUGAUAUACGCUCCGAAGGGCUAACGGACGGACAGAAAGGGUUUAUCGAGUUGGCCUUCGCUCUCUCUCGAUGGAACCACGAACAUAGAAGAAUCGAUCGAUGGAUAGACGUGAUUGACUCGCUCAAUCAAUGGACGAACAAGAGGGAUGAAUCACUCAACACACUAUUAAUUCGCAGCUU
rnacentral:lncRNA from 1 species